AGUCACCAAAAAACCGCUCACACACAAUUCCCUGCAAAUGAUGAAAGAAAGAGGGACGGGGGGGGGGGGGGAAACUUUGUUUUAUUAUUUUAAAAAAAAAAAAAGCAAGCCCCACAGGGUGGCAGUAUUGAAAGAAUGAAAUGGAAGAGGAAAUGGAACGCAAUGAGAAAGAACAAAAAGAAACCGAGGGCUGAGUAGACCUGUCCCGAAAGGCUUUCUUCUUCUGCUUUGCCACCGCCUUACCCCCUCCGCUUUGCUCCCUGGCUCAGACCUGCAGGCGGUAAUAUAUGCCCUCCCUCCCCUCCCUCUCCCACCCCCUUUUUUUUUUUCUUUCCCCUUCCGUCCCCGAACGGUGCAGGGGGAGGGUCUGGAAAGAAGGAAGGAGAAAAAAAAAAAAAAUCUGAUUCCCAGUCAGAGUUGAUUGAAAGAGAACAUUAAGCUUUAUGCGUUGGUAACGGGGAAUAAAUGAUGCCAGACGAGGCACGUGGGCCGUGCAGGAAUCGCCAGCGGGCCUGGGAGUUGGAAAACGGAAUUCACCGAGGGGUCUCCGCGGGCAUCCUUCACCGGCCAGGAGAGCGGAGGAAAGCACCUCGUGUUUAAGAACCCCGAGGUUAUUUCCCUCGCCCUUGGAUCGGCAUGGUCCGCUCUGGGGAGUGAAGGUGGGCAGAGCCCUCCAGGAAUCGUCCAUGUAGAAAAUGUCGCCAGAAGCGAAGAUCUGAGACCAAAUCAGAAAACUGUACAUUAAGGCUUUUUACUCCAUCCUGCUGGGAUUCUAAAGUGCUUACACGCCAUCUGUGCUAGAAAGCCUACGAGCAGCAGCAGCAGAGAAUUUGGGUGAGUUCUUAUUUGAGUUUUAGGAUACAAUUUAGGAGAAUUCAUGCUGCCAGGGAGAACAGGAUCCUAUCUCCAAGGACCUUGUUAUUCGACUUGCGUGUCGCCUUAAGAACGACCGCAUUUCGGAUUAGUCAUUUUGAAAUGUUCUCCCGGCACCACUGAGGAUCUAACGGCACCCUUGAAAGGUAGAUAUUUAUCCAUAUUAAUAGUCAGGCCACCUGGGAUAACAAAUCUGAGAAUUCUGAAGACGAUUCAGUAAACAGAGUUAUCACUGCCCUUCUCCGUUGAGCCAACGUGCCCAGGUUUAGGUCAAUUGCCUGAGCUUAAGGAGUGCGCAGAAAACAACGUACUAACCCUGUGGAAGAGCAAAGAAAUGGAAAUCCUGAUGUCCUACACAUUGCUUUUUGUGCCAGAGCCCAUUCCCUCGGGUUGCAGAGACAUAAACCUACAUUCCCAAACCCCCAGAAACAAAGAAACCGGCUGAAAACAAUUGAAGUAUAGAAACCAGUCUGAAGUUAGGAAGGCACGGCAACCCUCUAGACUGUUAGCUCCUUAUGGGCAGGGGACGUGCUUAUUUACUGUUCUACUGCAUUCUCCCAACCACUUAGUAUAGUGCUCUGCACACAGUAAGUGCUCAAUAAAUACGAUUGAAUGAACGAAUGAAAGGGAUUGCAUAAAAUCCCCAAAGUUUAGUUAUUUUCUGGGUGCCCUAUGCAAGGAGAAUUGGAUGACAGCAGGCUAAGUCAAAUGGUUCUGUGGGGAAGUUAACAAGGAGGAGGGGACUGUCAGUAGGGAAGGCAGAAGAAUCUAGAUUUCAAACUCAUUCAUUCUUUCAACAGUAUUUAU
rnacentral:lncRNA from 1 species